UCCCUGUCGCUCUGUAGUUCC
rnacentral:siRNA from 1 species